rnacentral:rRNA from 1 species
AGCUAGUUGGUGAGGUAAUGGCCCACCAAGGCGACGAUCGGUAGCCGGACUGAGAGGUUGUACGGCCACAUUGGGACUGAGACACGGCCCAGACUCCUACGGGAGGCAGCAGUGGGGAAUAUUGCACAAUGGGGGAAACCCUGAUGCAGCGACGCCGCGUGGAGGAAGAAGGUCUUCGGAUUGUAAACUCCUGUUGUUGAGGAAGAUAAUGACGGUACUCAACAAGGAAGUGACGGCUAACUACGUGCCAGCAGCCGCGGUAAAACGUAGGUCACAAGCGUUGUCCGGAGUUACUGGGUGUAAAGGGAGCGCAGGCGGGAAGACAAGUUGGAAGUGAAAUCCAUGGGCUCAACCCAUGAACUGCUUUCAAAACUGUUUUUCUUGAGUAGUGCAGAGGUAGGCGGAAUUCCCGGUGUAGCGGUGGAAUGCGUAGAUAUCGGGAGGAACACCAGUGGCGAAGGCGGCCUACUGGGCACCAACUGACGCUGAGGCUCGAAAGUGUGGGUAGCAAACAGGAUUAGAUACCCUGGUAGUCCACACUGUAAACGAUGAUUACUAGGUGUUGGAGGAUUGACCCCUUCAGCGCCGCAGUUAACACAAUAAGUAAUCCACCUGGGGAGUACGACCGCAAGGUUGAAACUCAAAGGAAUUGACGGGGGCCCGCACAAGCAGUGGAGUAUGUGGUUUAAUUCGACGCAACGCGAAGAACCUUACCAAGUCUUGACAUCCUGCGACGCACAUAGAAAUAUGUGUUUCCUUCGGGACGCAGAGACAGGUGGUGCAUGGUUGUCGUCAGCUCGUGUCGUGAGAUGUUGGGUUAAGUCCCGCAACGAGCGCAACCCUUAUGGUCAGUUACUACGCAAGAGGACUCUGGCCAGACUGCCGUUGACAAAACGGAGGAAGGUGGGGAUGACGUCAAAUCAUCAUGCCCUUUAUGACUUGGGCUACACACGUACUACAAUGGCGUUAAACAAAGAGAAGCAAGACCGCGAGGUGGAGCAAAACUCAGAAACAACGUCCCAGUUCGGACUGCAGGCUGCAACUCGCCUGCACGAAGUCGGAAUUGCUAGUAAUCGCAGAUCAGCAUGCUGCGGUGAAUACGUUCCCGGGCCUUGUACACACCGCCCGUCACACCAUGAGAGCCGGGGGGACCCGAAGUCGGUAGUCUAACCGCAAGGAGGACGCCGCCGAAGGUAAAACUGGUGAUUGGGGUGAAGUCGUAACAAGGUAGCCGUAGGAGAACCUGCGGCUG